rnacentral:lncRNA from 1 species
UUACCUUUAGCAUCGCCCCCUACAAUGGGAGCAGAUCAAGCUAUCCAUCCCAUACAUGUAUGUGAGCUAACAUCACUGCAACAGAGAACAGCAGAGAAGGGAGAAAGGACCAGUGAACAUUUAUAUAUCCCCAUUACAUUUAUAUAUCUGUUUAAUGCUAAAGAUCAAGUCUGACAAAUAUUCUGGAGGCAAAGGAUAUACCGAAGGUAGUACUGGCAUGGAGACUGCCAAAUAACGCCAAUGAUCAGACACGUGCAUACAAAUCCACCAUGGGCUACUGCAUGAGACCUAGUACAGUACCGAGGUAUGGAAGGUUUAACAUGGUUCCUGUUGAUCAGCAACAGCAAGGCAUUUUGAGGAUACUUAGAUGUGGGACUAACCAAAUAUUUUCUAGGCUUAGCAGGCUAUGGUAAUAUUUAGAUUUUUUUAGAUAAUGAUGGUAAUAUUUAGAUGAUUGCCCAUAACUAUGAUGGUAAUGCAAUAGCAUUAAGCUUAUUCUUGUGAGCAGCGGAAAUCUCACCCAACAUAUGC